GAUGAACGCUGGCGGCGUGCCUAAUACAUGCAAGUCGAGCGAACAGACGAGGAGCUUGCUCCUCUGACGUUAGCGGCGGACGGGUGAGUGACACGUGGAUAACCUACCUAUAAGACUGGGAUAACUUCGGGAAACCGGAGCUAAUACCGGAUAAUAUAUUGAACCGCAUGGUUCAAUAGUGAAAGACGGUUUUGCUGUCACUUAUAGAUGGAUCCGCGCCGCAUUAGCUAGUUGGUAAGGUAACGGCUUACCAAGGCAACGAUGCGUAGCCGACCUGAGAGGGUGAUCGGCCACACUGGAACUGAGACACGGUCCAGACUCCUACGGGAGGCAGCAGUAGGGAAUCUUCCGCAAUGGGCGAAAGCUUGACGGAGCAACGCCGCGUGAGUGAUGAAGGUCUUCGGAUCGUAAAACUCUGUUAUUAGGGAAGAACAAAUGUGUAAGUAACUAUGCACGUCUUGACGGUACCUAAGCAGAAAGCCACGGCUACUACGUG
rnacentral:rRNA from 1 species